UACGUAGGGGGCUAGCGUUAUCCGGAAUUACUGGGCGUAAAGGGUGCGUAGGUGGUUUCUUAAGUCAGAGGUGAAAGGCUACGGCUCAACCGUAGUAAGCCUUUGAAACUGGGAAACUUGAGUGCAGGAGAGGAGAGUGGAAUUCCUAGUGUAGCGGUGAAAUGCGUAGAUAUUAGGAGGAAUACCAGUUGCUAAGGCGGCUCUCUGGACUGUAACUGACACUGAGGCACGAAAGCGUGGGGAGCAAACAGGAUUAGAUACCCUGGUAGUCCCUGAG
rnacentral:rRNA from 1 species